GACGAACGCUGGCGGCGUGCUUAACACAUGCAAGUCAUACGAGAAAAGGGUAGCAAUAUCCUGAGUAAAGUGGCGCACGGGUGAGUAACACGUAGGCAAUUUGCCAUUAGGACGGGAACAACCCCGAGAAAUACGAGGCUAAUACCCGAUAAUGCAGCGGCUCCGCAUGGAGACAGUUGUUAAAGUCCUGACGCAAGUCGGGAGCCUAUUGAUGAGCCUGCGUCNGAUUAGCUAGUUGGUGAGGUAACGGCUCACCAAGGCGACGAUCAGUAGCUGGUCUGAGAGGAUGAUCAGCCACACUGGAACUGAGACACGGUCCAGACUCCUACGGGAGGCAGCAGUGAGGAAUAUUGCGCAAUGGCCGAAAGGCUGAACGCAGCGACGCCGCGUGAAGGAUGAAAUUCGUUAGAAUGUAAACUUUCUUUUGUAGGGGAUGAAUGUCCCGCCUUGUGCGGG
rnacentral:rRNA from 1 species